rnacentral:rRNA from 1 species
GAUGAACGCUAGCUACAGGCUUAACACCUGCAAGUCGAGGGACCGGCGCACGGGUGAGUAACACGUAUCCAACCUUCCCUUUACUCGGGGAUAGCCUUUCGAAAGAAAGAUUAAUACCCGAUAUAAAGGAUGGGGAUGCGGUCCAUUAGGUUGUUGGUGAGGUAACGGCCCACCAAACCUUCGAUGGAUAGGGGUUCUGAGAGGAAGGGCCCCCACAGUGGACACGAGACACGGUCCAAACUCCUACGGGAGGCAGCAGUGAGUAAUAUUGGUCAAUGGGCGCUAGCCUGAACCAGCCAAGUAGCGUGAAGGAUGAAGGCUUAUGGGUCGUAAACUGCUUUUAUAUAAGAAUAUGUAUUAUAUGAAUAAGGAUCGGCUAACUCCGUGCCAGCCGCCGCGGUAAUAC